rnacentral:tRNA from 1 species
GGUUGUAGCUCAGUGGUAGAGCACUGGCCUAGCCUGUGUGAGGCACUGGGUUCAAUUCUCAGCACCA